rnacentral:rRNA from 1 species
UACGGAGGGUGCAAGCGUUAUCCGGAUUCACUGGGUUUAAAGGGUGCGUAGGUGGGCAGUUAAGUCAGUGGUGAAAGCCCAUCGCUCAACGGUGGAACGGCCAUUGAUACUGCAAGACUUGAAUUAUUAGGAAGUAACUAGAAUAUGUAGUGUAGCGGUGAAAUGCUUAGAGAUUACAUGGAAUACCAAUUGCGAAGGCAGGUUACUACUAAUGGAUUGACGCUGAUGGACGAAAGCGUGGGGAGCGAACAGG